GGGAGGAGAGGUGGUGCAGCUCAUGUUGACCCUGGCAGAUUUUAAAUCUCACCUAAAAUUGUUUCAAGCCAGCUUGAAAAUCAAUCUGUCGCAGCGUGGAAUUACCAGCGAUCAGAACCUCUGCACUGCCCUGCACAGAAACUCCAGACCAGGUGCAUGGCGAUGCUAUGGUGGUGGAGACGAUGACAUCAUCCAGGAAGUAACAUAUCUGUGACUCUGAAGGGAUAUCAGGCGACAAAGUUCUGCACAGUGGCCCUGAAACACCCGAGUCAGGACUUUAAAACUCUCUGGAAAGACGGCACAGUGGAUGUGACCUGGAACUAGUCUGAGUGGCGGAGGGAUACGACCACGAGGAGGUGACUCUGAACUGCUCAGGUCAUUGAUCACUAAUUUACCUAACCCUAACCCUUAAUCAAUGUAAGUGGAAUCGGUGCUGGUGAAACUGACUCACUACAACAUUAAAACUGUGGUCGACAGUUUCUUCUUUAUGUUUCUGUCUGCAGAGAGGAAGACCUCCAGCUGACGAUGAAGACGCUUCAUGACAAUGUGAACUGCAGUAAUGAUAUCACGUGUUGCAAGUGCUGCUGCUGCUGCUGAUGAUGAUGAUGAUGAUGAUGCUGCUGCUGCUUUCUUUCCACUGUUCCUGUCUGAUCGUGCAGCAAAGCCACUUCCAAAGGUUGAAUGUUUAAAUGAGUUAGUGUUUGUCCUCUGACAGUUCUAUUAAACUGGAUCUGUGUAUGAUUUAACCGUCCUCAUGAUGCUAUAAUUAAAUUGUCACGUCUCCUGUGAGUGAAGACACUGGUGUUAAUGUGGCAGAUAAAUAAUGAACGGGGGCAGAUUUACCAUUUACCCCUGGAACAGACAAACUCAGGCCUGGAUGUCAGCGUCACUUUACAUCUGCAAUUACAUGAAAAAGAUCCGAAACAACAAACUAUAAUCAUAACAACACAAAGCUGUCAGAUUGUGUUGACGAGGGAUGAUGGAGGGAAAGGUUUGUAGGGGUGACUUCCUGUCAGAACCUUUCAGAAUUAAAGCUCACAAUAGCUUGAAAUAAAGCAUUGCUGUAAAAGAAACAACAAAAACAAACUUUCUCAUGUUUAAUUUGACCUGUGGGCCUCCAGUCGCCACACGCUGGUCUGGACAGAGUGCUGCUGGUCACUGAGCCUCUUCACCUCCCUACCUGUUGGAGUUCUAUCAAGGUUCUUUAAGAACCCCCUCCAGCUUUUAAACUACCUGGUUCUCUUACUGAAGUGAAGUGGGGGUUCCCACC